AGCAGUAGCCGCGGGAAUACGGAGGGGGCUAGCGUUGUUCGGAAUUACUGGGCGUAAAGCGCACGUAGGCGGCUUUGUAAGUUAGAGGUGAAAGCCUGGGGCUCAACUCCAGAAUUGCCUUUAAGACUGCAUCGCUUGAACGUCGGAGAGGUGAGUGGAAUUCCGAGUGUAGAGGUGAAAUUCGUAGAUAUUCGGAAGAACACCAGUGGCGAAGGCGGCUCACUGGACGACUGUUGACGCUGAGGUGCGAAAGCGUGGGGAGCAAACAGGAUUAGAUACCCCAGUAGUCCCUGUCUCUUUACA
rnacentral:rRNA from 1 species